GUUUAUGCUUUUUAUCUUUUCUAAAAUGUUAUUUCCUUUUAUUUUCUGUUCUGUUUCUUUUUCAGCUUUUUUUUUUUGUUUCUGUAAUCGGUCUCCCUGCAAUUUUGCCGACGUGUUCUCCGGCAGAUUUUGGCCAUCAAUCGCACGGAGUACCACCACCGUCAAAACAUGUCCUGCAACGAUGGGGUUUGCUUUUGCUGCUUAUACAACUGAUGGGCCUGGGGUUUUUGAUUUCAAGCAAGGAAAAGAUCGUGUGAGCUUAAGAGAUUGGCUGGCAUAUGUAGCAAGAAAUGCAAAUGUUUUUACCAACAUCAUUAUUAAGAAUCACCUUAAUUCUUAUAGAUGGGAAGGAACGGAUAUGCACUUGCUGAGUUUGAUGAUGGGGGCUAUGAUCGGUCGGAGCUGUGGUUACCCCAGGGGUAGGGGAUGAGAAGACGAUUAUUAAAUAUCUAACUGGUGAGUUCUCUUGCGCGAAAGCCUUUCCAGCCCGGAGCUGAGCCAAUUUUCUGUCAUCAUAUUAGAUGAAGUUCAUGAGAGGCUGCACAGGUAUUGUUCAGCCUAUUGCCCCUCAUUUUGAUUCAUGUUCUACAGUCUGUUUGUCUUUGAAGAUUACCCAUCAUUUAAGUUGACGACUGCACAGUUAAUAUUUUGCUUGGUUGGAGUAUCCCGUUCAUUUUGUUUUUCCAUUUGUGUUUGUGUUGCUUUUACUCCUUGUGUAAUUUUGUUGUUUGGUGUAUAUUGAAAUUAAUAAUUCUUCCUUCUGUAGUAGUAACCUAUUGGUUGGGUGACUGCCUAAAUUGUUGUAGUGCUACGAAAUUAAGUUGAGGUAAUAUAUUGUUUCUUUUGGUAUCUUAUUAAUUAAAUGAUUGCAUUAAACUUUUUUAUGAUUAGUUUAAAUAGAGAUUAUCUUAAAUAGACUAUUUACAUGAUAUUUACAAUCGUAAGAAUUUGGAGGUUUUUUUGUUUAUUAGGGACGAAUUUCAUCAACGUGAAUAAAUAAUUAUUCAAUAUGGUUGUUGGACAUGGACGAAUUUUGUCGCAGGAUCUGCUGCGUGGCUAGGCUGAGAGCUCUGCUCUAAUUAGAAUGUCUGCACAAGCUACAGAAUUGGAUAGAUAUUGGUUAUGAUAGUUCUAUUCUCGAGUACCAGGUGUAGUUUAUCAUACAUGUAAGAAAUUUGUUUAUUCCAGUUACAUUUUGUGGGCCUUAUGAUCUGAAGCAAAAUAGCCUUUUUAAGUUACUUCUUCGUGUAGAUGAGCCUAUUUUCUUCCAUAGGAAGCACUGAAGGUUAAUAUCGUCGCAGCAGAGCAUACGUCUAGGUGUUUGAUGCCGAGGAUAAGCAGAUCAGGUGCCAGGUGCCGAAGAUCAGCAAGGCAGCCAUCGAGACAUUGCAGGUACUAACUGCUCAGAUUAUAGCUGCCAAACCGCCAGAGGUCGAGCACCAACAGGCAAGAAGCGCACCCGAAAGGGUUGUGCAAGACACUAUUUUUUUUAUUUUGUUUUAUUAUAUUAAUUACAUUGGUCAUGACUCAUGACUCAUGCAUACUUUAUUGUAUUAUUAUUUAGAUUUUAAUUUCAAUUUGUAAUUAUGCAAAAGAACUAAAUAUUUGUUAUGAUUUACAAGGGUUAAAUUAUGUAAACUAUGAGUGUUUGUUUUAAUA